CCAUGUUAUAUCACGGAAGGAAGAAAUCAUUUCGUUAUCACCAGGUUUUGUUUAUUACACGAUAUCAGAAAAAACGAGUGAGUUUGGGUAUUUAGAAUUUUUCUUGCUCAUUGAGUAAUUUUGAUUUUAUUUUUGUUUGUUUAGCGCAUAGUCUUGCUCGUUGGCAUAUGGUUCUAAAUAAGUACAUUUCUUUAUCCAAUAUCUUUUUUUAUAAAUGUAUAGGGAGUUGCAGAAUUAGUAAAUUUCUUUAUCCAAUACCAUAAUUUUCUGAAAUGUAUAGGGAGUUGCACAAUUUUUGUUUCCGUUAUGCUCUUUUAUUAUUUACAAUUUAUUCUUUGAAAUCGUAAUCGGUUAUUUUUUUUUGGCUGCGAAUCUGCCAAGAGGGUACAAGUUCUUCAAAAACUGGUAUUGUUGCUACUUUAUGAUGGUGUUUGUGCUACACCGCCAAUUGUUCAACUCGGCAAGAUUACUAGGUAAAGAGUUAUAAUUGUAUGUCUUUGCCGAAACAUCUCUAUUUUUGUGUACUCUUUUGUGGUUUUGAUGUUUUUGUUUGUGAAGUUUGGAAUUUCUUAUUAGUCAUGAAGACGUGGAUGUUUGAAAGUUUGAAUAACAAAUACAUUGUCGAUCCAUCACUUUUGUAAGGAACACUUUUGUUUGCUUCUCCUUUAUUCUGGACUCCGUUUGUACUAUCUACUUCUAUGGAACUUUUGAAAUUAUGUCAAAAAAUUCGACCAUGAUUCCCUCACGGCAAUUUUUCAAACUUGGGGUUGCAUACAUACCUCUAUUUGGAUCCGAGUCGGAACUUCUUUGUUUAUGGCUUCCAAAGGUUGAGUCGUGGUGCAGGUGACUCUCUUCUGUUUUCCUGUAAUUUUCUCUUUUUGGUGUUCACCCAAUCUAAUUUAUUACUUUCUUCAUUCGCAACCAUUGUUUCCUUUCUUUUCUUUUUCUUUGUGUUUUCUAUAUUCAAUUACAGGUUAGCCCUUUUUUGGUGUUUCGGCUUCGGUUUGCUGUUGCUCUCUCUGCUCGUACACAGGUUUGCCGCUUGUUCAAGAAUUAUAUUGAUGUCUUCCAGUGAAGUUUACUUCUUAUAGCUGAUUUUAUUCGGCUGAGUGAAUUCUCAGCUGGAGUUGAGUUCGUCCACAUCUGUAGACGGCGCCACUCUGACGAGUAGCUUUGCACUUUCGACGAUUGACGUUGGACUUCUUUAUAUUACUUUGGUUUAUGCCUCUUAUAUUUGUAUUUUUUCCUUACGAUUUACUUCUUGUACAUUAUCCUUCAAAAUUUUUGCUCCCUCUCCACCACCUCCUUAUUUCCCGGCCUCCGUCGACUGGACACACGAGGCACACAUUCCGGCGGUUUUCGAUUUGUGUUCUCAUAUUUUCCAAUUUUCUCUGCACAUAUUGGUGCUUUAGGGAAGUGGAUGAAUCGCUGCUCGAUCUCAAAAGGCCUUCCCUAUUUCCUUCUAUGAUUGUAUCUUUUGUUCAGGAAAGCGGAUGAAAUCGCUGCUCGAUCGCAAAAAGCCCUCCCUCUCUUCUAUGAAUAUUUGUUUUCGUAGUUGGGGCUAUUAGGUCUAUAAUUUAAUUAAGCAACCUGUAUCCUGUAAUUGCAUUUUCAGAACUUUUGAAUGCAACAAAAUCAGGUGAGGAAUCACACGUUCACCUCA